rnacentral:lncRNA from 1 species
GCCCACUCCCCGCCCCAUCCCCCCCGCAUCCCGCCUUAGCCCCGAGCAGGCCCCCCCCCUCCUCCUCGCACCCGGCCCAGCCCCGUCCCUGCGGGGGUCCCUGUACCCACCAUUACACUGCGCCUCACUCGGCCGCGCCCCCCGGCCCUGCGCCCCCUCGGGACGGGCAGUCCGCGGGCGGCGCGGGCCACGUGCUGGGGUCUGUGCCGUCACUCAUUGUGCUGCAGCCAAUGGGCGGCGCCGGCGCCAGGCCGCCGCCCCGAGGUGCGCACCCCCACGCCCAGAGGGGCGCAGCAGCCGGGGGCCCAGGCACCGCCGGGGGAGGGAGCGCUGCGGCUAACGUCGGCUCCAGCGACCGCCAGAGGUACGCCCCAGACGGAGGGACGCCGCCUGCGGGGGGUGACGCCCGGAGGGACAGGGCUGCGGGCGGGGGCGGGCUGCGGGUGGGGCGGCGGCAGGGCUGUGCGGGCGCUGCCAGGCCGAGAGGGAAAUGACAGGCGACACGGUGAUCGUCCUCAAACUCAGGCCGGCGAGCACAUGGGGUGCGCGCGCAGUCGUCGACGGAGCAGCCCCCCCGCGGGCGCGACAGCCGAGCGGCGCUGCCCCCCCGCACUCCGAGACCGCGGGCCCAGGGGCGCUGGCCGCGAAUUCGGCACCGCGGGGCACACGCCCCAAGGCCUGCCUUACCCGGACGGGAGGACAAGCGGGGACGCCCAGCACUCAAGGCUGACGCUCAGAGGCACUCGGAGCUCCCCGAUCCUCAGCUCCCAGCGAGGCCAACCGUGGGUCCCAAUUCCGGGCUGCAGGGCCGCGCUCCUCCACGCCGGCCUCCCUUGCACGUGGGAAACGCAGAGAGCCUGGGAAUUCCACUGACGCUGGCAUCUGUGAGCCGCACAAUGAAACCCCGUGUCUGAUUUCCUGCCCUGAGCCCUUGAGGGAGAGGGAGUUAGAGGAUUUGGGGGGCUGCGGUGCAGGGGCGCUGCUGGUCCUACUGUGAGCCAAGCGGACAAGGAAGUACCCUGCGCUCGUCCCACCUCGCCCCGCUGUCGGGGCGCCCCGGGCUCCUCGCACACCCCGACCUCGCAGCCGUAGUGAGCACCACGGGCAGGGGAGCACCCGCCCGCCCCCGGCUCCCCGGGCCGGGCCUGGAGCCUGCCGCCUGGGGGUCCCUGCCGCCCGCCCGGGAGUCUCACCCCCCCAAGGGCAAGGGCGGAGCCGCCCCCAGGAUCCAUCCCGGCGGUCCGGCUCGGGGCCCACGCCGGUUCAGUCCCCAAUCAGGCGGCAGGAGUCAGCAUUCUAGAAACAGUCCCUCCGCGGAGGGAACUGCAGGCGAGCAGCAGGGUCCUCGGCCUGACGGCGGGGACUGCGGGGACGGGCGGCCCGGAGCCCCCCGGAGCCCCGGGGCUGUGGGAGGAACCUGAGGCCCAGGGCGAGGGCAGGAGGGGGGGCUGGCCUCCGAAGCGAGGGCCCUGGACUCGUGGGGGGACUGCUGUCGCCCGCGGGGAAGGAGGAAGCCACAUGACCCUCCAAGGGGGGACCCCGCGCAGGAGGGGGCUGCUGAGGCCCCGGCUUCCCGCCGCUGGGCCUGGCCUGGGCGCCCCACCUCUGCUGUACCCCCGCCCCCCGCUGCCAUUCCUGCUGCAAUGACUGUGGUUCUUAGGCCUCGUGUGCUUUCCCACACCUGCCUGGACGCUCCCCUGUGUUUGAAGGAAGCCCCGCACCCAGCCUGGGGCUGGGACGCCCCACCCCGACACCCAGGGGUGCGGCCCUGGCGACCGGCCGCCCAGCUGCGCCUGGCCUGGGCCCCUCGGAUGUCGGCUCUUCCCGUGACGCCUUGCCCUGGGUCCUCGGGUCCGUGUAGCUCAGGGGCUGGUGGCCACGUGCGGAGCGAGUGGCUUUCUACCCCAGUAGUGCAAACCGUGUGUAAAUACCUGUGAGCACCCUCCGUGAGCUCAGCAGGAUUCAAAGGUCAGUCCCUGAGGUGCAGCCCCCUACACACACGCGCAC